UUUUUUCAACGCACACUUUAACUACCAUGCCAGUUUUAAUGAACUCUUACAUUAGUGCUCUUAUGUACUUCGUGCAUUACUGCUAGGUGCCAUGAAUAAUAUAUU
rfam:Papio anubis isolate 1X1155 chromosome 12, whole genome shotgun sequence.